rnacentral:rRNA from 1 species
ACUGCUCAGUAACACGUGGACAACCUGCCCUUAGGUUGGGUAUAAACCCGGGAAACUGGGUAUAAUACCCGAUAGGUCUCGAUUGCUGGAAUGCAUCGAGAUUUAAAGCUCCGGCGCCUAAGGAUGGGUCUGCGGCCUAUCAGGUAGUAGUGGGUGUAGCGUACCUACUAGCCUACGACGGGUACGUGUUGUGAGAGCAAGAGCCCGGAGAUGGAUUCUGAGACACGAAUCCAGGCCCUACGGGGUGCAGCAGGCGCGAAAACUUUACAAUGCUGGCAACAGCGAUAAGGGAACCUCGAGUGCCAGGUUACAAAUCUGGCUGUCGAGAUGCCUAAAAAGCAUUUCAUAGCAAGGGCCGGGCAAGACCGGUGCCAGCCGCCGCGGUAACACCGGCGGCUCGAGUGGUAACCGUUAUUAUUGGGUCUAAAGGGUCUGUAGCCGGCCGGAUAAGUCUCUUGAGAAAUCUGGCAGCUUAACUGUCAGGCUUUCAGGAGAUACUGUCUGGCUCGAGGCCGGGAGAGGUGAGAGGUACUUCAGGGGUAGGGGUGAAAUCUUGUAAUCCUUGAAGGACCACCAGUGGCGAAGGCGUCUCACCAGAACGGACCUGACGGCAAGGGACGAAAGCUAGGGGCACGAACCGGAUUAGAUACCCGGGUAGUCCUAGCCGUAAACGAUACUCGCUAGGUGUCGGCCACGGUGCGACCGUUGUCGGUGCCGUAGGGAAGCCGUGAAGCGAGCCACCUGGGAAGUACGGCCGCAAGGCUGAAACUUAAAGGAAUUGGCGGGGGAGCAC